GAUGAACGCUGGCGGCGUGCCUAAUACAUGCAAGUCGAGCGAGCAGACGAGGAGCUUGCUCCUCUGACGUUAGCGGCGGACGGGUGAGUAACACGUGGAUAACCUACCUAUAAGACUGGGAUAACUUCGGGAAACCGGAGCUAAUACCGGAUAAUAUAUUGAACCGCAUGGUUCAAUAGUGAAAGACGGUUUUGCUGUCACUUAUAGAUGGAUCCGCGCCGCAUUAGCUAGUUGGUAAGGUAACGGCUUACCAAGGCAACGAUGCAUAGCCGACCUGAGAGGGUGAUCGGCCACACUGGAACUGAGACACGGUCCAGACUCCUACGGGAGGCAGCAGUAGGGAAUCUUCCGCAAUGGGCGAAAGCCUGACGGAGCAACGCCGCGUGAGUGAUGAAGGUCUUCGGAUCGUAAAACUCUGUUAUUAGGGAAGAACAAAUGUGUAAGUAACUAUGCACGUCUUGACGGUACCUAAUCAGAAAGCCACGGCUAACUACGUG
rnacentral:rRNA from 1 species